rnacentral:rRNA from 1 species
AUUGAACGCUGGCGGCAUGCCUUACACAUGCAAGUCGAACGGCAGCACGGACUUCGGUCUGGUGGCGAGUGGCGAACGGGUGAGUAAUGUAUCGGAACGUACCUUUCAGUGGGGGAUAACGUAGCGAAAGUUACGCUAAUACCGCAUAUUCUGUGAGCAGGAAAGCAGGGGAUCGCAAGACCUUGCGCUGAUUGAGCGGCCGAUAUCAGAUUAGCUAGUUGGUGGGGUAAAGGCCUACCAAGGCUACGAUCUGUAGCGGGUCUGAGAGGAUGAUCCGCCACACUGGAACUGAGACACGGUCCAGACUCCUACGGGAGGCAGCAGUGGGGAAUUUGGACAAUGGGGGCAACCCUGAUCCAGCCAUGCCGCGUGAGUGAAGAAGGCCUUCGGGUUGUAAAGCUCUUUCGGUCCGGGAAGAAUCGCAUAGGCUAAUACCCUGUGUGGAUGACGGUACCGGAAUAAGAAGCACCGGCUAACUACGUGCCAGCAC